AAUGCGUCAACAGAGACCUUAUUGAACCACAAAUUAAAGAUGGAAGACUUUUAUGUUGCAAAUUGAAAUCACACUGAAAUUCAGUGAUAUGUUCAAUGACUUUUAUGUUUCUUACCACAACCAAUAUGCUGAUAUAUAUCACAACUACUUUUCCCUGCCGAAGAUAUUUAAUUGGAGCAAGUCAAAAGAGGCAGUUAUUAUCUCUAGCAGAUAUUUUCUUAGAGAGGAUUUUUCAAAUAUGAAUUUAGGACAUACUACUUUUGCCGCCUUUCAAGCUCAAAAGCAGUUGAGAAGAAUUGUAAUUAGAUGAAAUUCUUUGUUUUUGGAAUUAUUUGCUCCCAUAGUUUCCUUUGUGCUUAUAAAUACACAACACUAAAUAAAUAAAUAAAAUGUGCACAUAAAAAUUUCAAUUCGAAAUAUCAGUUGCAUACCACAAAUAAGGCUGUAUUGCUUUUCAGCAGUUCCUCAAAGUGCAUUUGAAUUUUCCCACCUUCUGGACCAGCUUCCUUCAGCACAGAAAUUGUCAUAUCAUAGUUGUUUAUGAGAAACACAAUUUGUAGUUUUGGCUUUGGGAAUGUUUUAGCAAGCUUGAUGAGCAAAUCAUCAACAGCCAUUCUCAGCCAUUUCAAGUUCAAUUCAAGCUGCAUACAUAGAGCGGUCAGAGUCACGUUAUUAAUUUAUCUCACAGACACACGCACGAGAGAAGAGGAAAGAGAAAAACACCAUUGUAAGUUCCAAACAGAUCAAACCUGCCCAUCUCCAUAUUCAACAUUAAGGUGAAUAAGAGAUGCAGUAAAUUCUGCAUAACGCCUCAUGACAUAAUGAGGAUGAACAUCAUCUUCCCACAAUGUCUUCACAUUUGCAUUCCGCAGGCUGCUAAGGUGCAAGUCAAAUACCAUCUUAAAACGAGGCCAUAAAGAGAUAUUGACCUUAUCCAAAUAUGAGUCCAAGCAUGGAAUCCGCCGCCGAGACAUAAUGAGCUGAUGCUGAUGUAUGAUGCGAAUCAUAAGCAUGAGGCCUAUGGCAUCAUAACAAUUAGGAAGUAUUGAAUUGAAGUGUUCAUCAACAACAGCAAGCGGACCUGAUUACAUUACAGAAAUCACUAAACCUCCAAACUAACAACAAAAAUGAAAAUAUAUAUGUAUAUAGGGCUAAUGGUCUAAUAUAUCCUGAACUUCGAGGCUUUUUUCAAUUGUAUCCCAUACUUUCAAUUUUAUCAAUUUGAUUUAUAAGUUACAGAUUUUAUUUCAAUUCUAUAUAAUGGGUUUGGGAAUAUGUAUGCUAAUGCUUUGUGAUGGAAGGAAAAUAUGAGCACUAGUUAAUUUGGAAGACAUAGGCCCUUCUUGAGCUCUAAAAGCCAUCAAACAAAACCAUUUUGCAAAGUUCUCCUCCCUCAUAAAGUUGUUUAAAAUGUUUUUUGAGAUCCAUAUUUUGCAAAACACCAUCAUUUAGUGGCCUUUAGGCUUACGAUGAGUCCACCAUCAGAAGGGGCUUAAGGUUCAGCAAACUCUUAGCAUGUGCACACACCCUAGAGCCAUUAGAUGCUACUGAAACAAAAUUAGUAAUUUGUGAACUAAAUUGACAAAAUUAAAAAUAUGGGAUACAAUUGAAAAUGUGCAUGUAAGUUCAAGAUACAGCAUCCCAAAGAUACAUAGAUAUAUAUGACAAUAUAUUGAUCUAGAAAUGAAUCAAAGAUGAUGAUCUUUAAUGUUAUUCAAUUGUUAAACUUAUAUGCACAAAAACUUCAUUUUGGUUCCCGUGACAAUGAGAACAACAAUUCCCUGUCCUUUGCUGGUUUGAAACUUCAAAAUCAUAAAUCCUGUGAAAAUUUCAUAAAAUAUAGAUUCUUCCCCAAAGAAAUCAUCACAGAAAAGAUACUCAGAAGUUGCAGUAUCCAUUAGCAACUUGUGCAAGCUCCUGAAGAGGACCUCAUAAGGAUACUUUUGGGAGCUGGCUUCAGCUAUAUGAGGAAUCAAUGCUGGUUGAUCAAUUUCCUUUAAAAUAUUAAUCCUCUCCCCCAAAGCAAAAACUGCUGAACGAUUCUUUAGUGGUUCUCUUGGUCUUGAAAAAAGGCCACUGCUUCUGGUCUCCACGCCAAUCAAAUCACUAUAUGUUGCUAUAUCUAACUGUAGUUUCUCCAAGGCUUGAAUAUAAGCACGGAAAUGAGCACUUAAAACCUUGUUCAUUGUGUCAAUGUAUGCUCCACGAACCUCGGUAUAUAUCUCCUUGCCAUGUUCCAUGAGGAAGGAAAUGACAUACUUGUAUUUUAAAAGAACACUCUGUUGAAGAAUCUGAAUAUUUGUUUUGGGUUUUCUCAGUGCAUGAAGCUUCUGAACAAUGAACUCAAAGACCUGCAAAAUGAUAGUUACAGUUAAAAAAAGUUUUAACAUAUUGCAAAAUAUUUUUGCAGUAACAUUGCAUUUCAGAAGUGAACAACAUAUCAUUUGAUUGAAAGCUUCAGAUAAACAAGUUGAAACCAACCAAGAGAAGUCUACAAAACCCGGAGAUCAUAACAGCUAGUAUUAAUUAGCAAUUAGGGAUCUUCCAGAAUAAACUCUCUAAAACUGAAUAAUACCUGUAAACAUUGUGAAAAUUAUAGCCCUGUCCAUCAUAAGGUUAGAGCUUAGCCAAUCAGUAAUGAGAAAGAGAAAAAUGAUUGAUUCUAGAGAGUGAACUGAGAAAAAUUUAUUAUUCUUCUAGUAUAUUGGUAACAUUCAACAGCUAUAGAAAUUUACAAAUUAUUAUAGUGAGUAUCAAAUAUACUUCCAAGAAACAAUUUUUUCUGGUUUUAGUCAGAGCAUGUAUAACUAUGAUGCACAAGCUGUUUUAGGGACAAAUACUAUCAGUUCAUACCAACAAGACAAAAAAAAGAUAAUUUACGUAAAAAAAUACCAUACAACAUCUACUGGUGAAAAUUAUUGAAUUUGUUUGAGGGCAAGAAGUCAAAUUGAAUUGUUGUAGCAGUCAGAGAUAAGAGGAUGCAAAUAACUGAUUAAUCAACACCACCCCAGAAUCAAGCAAUUUCAGCGAACAACCUUAGAAACAGCUUUCUGCCUAAGCUUUUCAAGCUCAGGCUGCACAUCUUUCAGAGCUUUUGAGCCAUUAACCAAAGGAUCCACUUCAACGAACUUCAGCUUCUUACUAAGAAUCUCAAGAGUUCUCAAAUACUCUUCAUUGACCUCUCCAUCGACAAUUAUGUCUACCAUUCGAGGAGGGACAAUAAUGUCUUCAACAAAUUUUGCCAGUUUUGAUUCAGCGACCUUGCGAUUCUUCAGUUUCAAACCCAUAUCCAUAGACUUUUCCUGGAGAAUCUUGAUAUCUGAACUUAUAGAACCAAUCUCAGCCUGAAAUCCACUAAGAAGUGUUUCCAUCUGUGAUAAAAUGCUGUCACAGUCGCGAAUUUGAUCAUGAAGAGACACUAGAUUAUCACUUUCUUUUAUGUAAUCCUGAAUUGAGUCUAAUUCAACUUGUCGUAAAUUGUUCUCAACCCCCUUUGUAUGGUCUCUUAAUGUUAUGCCUUUAGACAGUAUGUUUGCAACGACAUCAUCAUUUUUGCAUUCUUGCAACUCUUGCUCAAGUCCUUCCAAUGAGAUUUCAUCACUGCUGGCGUCCUCCUCAACAGUUAGGUCCCCAACAAACGCACCUAAAUCAAACACAUUUCUCGGCGUAUAAUUCAUGACACCUCGAUAUUGACCCCUGAUGGAGCAGGAUCAAGUUCAAAACAAAUAUUGAGAAGUAAGCUGCCUUGGAUCUUCCCUUUCCCUCUGUAUUCGCGGUUUGGAAUCUAGAUCGGUCGUUUCUGGCGUUUGGAAUCCUUUUCUCAGCGUUUGGAAUCGUGUACAGCAGUCCUCGUGUCUUCCCUUUCUCUCUCCAUUCACGGUUUUUAGUUGUGACCGUGGUCAAGCUCACUUGAAUUGAGUCAGCGUCUGGUGAUGCGGGCGUUCUUGCCAACUAGAUCGGUCGGAAAUCGCCUUCAACGGAACUGGUUUCUCCCUCCUUUUUUUUAUCAGUCUGGGUAGCUUGG
rnacentral:misc_RNA from 1 species